rnacentral:misc_RNA from 1 species
AAAGUGCGAUAAGUAAUGUGAAUCGCAACACUCGUGAAUCAUCAAGUUUUUGAACGCAUAUUGCACCCCCUGGGCAACCGCGGGGUAUGCCUGUUUGAGAAUUGGAACCAUUAUUAAAUGAGCGGUCGCUGGACGUCGCUUGAAAUGCAGGUGCCUAGCCGGCACGCGGCACUGGUUGAUGCUUACGCUCUCUGAGUGUCGCGAGUUGGCAUAUGGGUAACUAGCCACAUCUGUGCAAGGACAUUGGUCCCUAAACACAAUCUCAAAUCAGGUAGGAGGACCCGCUGAACUUAA